UACGUAGGUGACCAGCGUUGUCCGGAUUUACUGGGCGUAAAGAGCGCGCAGGCGGUCGUUCAAGUCGAGUGUGAAAUCCCCCGGCUCAACCGGGGAACGGCCGGGCAUACUGGCGGUCUUGGGCUGCUCAGGGGCGACUGGAACAAGCGGUGGAGCGGUGAAAUGCGUAGAUAUCGCUUGGAACGCCCGCGGUGAAAACGGGUCGCUGGGGGCACGCCGACGCUGAGACACGAAAGCCAGGGGAGCGAACGGG
rnacentral:rRNA from 1 species